GAUGAACGCUGGCGGCGUGCCUAAUACAUGCAAGUCGAGCGAACGGACGAGAAGCUUGCUUCUCUGAUGUUAGCGGCGGACGGGUGAGUAACACGUGGAUAACCUACCUAUAAGACUGGGAUAACUUCGGGAAACCGGAGCUAAUACCGGAUAAUAUUUUGAACCGCAUGGUUCAAAAGUGAAAGACGGUCUUGCUGUCACUUAUAGAUGGAUCCGCGCUGCAUUAGCUAGUUGGUAAGGUAACGGCUUACCAAGGCAACGAUGCAUAGCCGACCUGAGAGGGUGAUCGGCCACACUGGAUCUGAGACACGUUCCAGACUCCUACGGGAGGCCGCCGUCGGGAAUCUUCCGCCAUGGGCGAAAGCCUGACGGAGCAACGCCGCGUGAGUGAUGAAGGUCCUCGGAUCGUAAAACUCUGUUAUUAGGGACGAACAUAUGUGUAAGUAACUGUGCACAUCUUGCCGGUACCUAAUCAGAACGCCACGGCUACCUACGUG
rnacentral:rRNA from 1 species